GACGAACGCUGGCGGCGUGCUUAACACAUGCAAGUCGAACGGAAAGGCCCUGCUUUUGUGGGGUUCUCGAUUGCCGAACGGGUGAGUAACACGCGAGUAACCUGCCCCUGACUUUGUGAUAACUUCACGAAACUGGGGCUAAUACCGGAUAGGAGCUCCUGCUGCACGGUGUGGGUUGGAAAGUUUCGGCUGUUGGGGCUGGACUCGCGGCUUAUCGGCUUGUUGGUGGAGUAGUGGCUUACCAAGCCUUCGACGGGUAGCCGGCCUAAGAGGGGGAACGGCGACCAUAGGACUGAGGGAGGGCCCAGACGCGUACGGGAGGCAGCAGUGGGGAAUAUUGCACAAUGAGCGGGAGUCUGAUAAGACGGCGCCGCGUGCGGGAAAACGGCCUUCGGGUUGUAAACCGCUUUCGCCUGUGACGAAGCGUGAGUGACGGUAAUGGGUAAAGAAGCACCGGCUAACUACGUG
rnacentral:rRNA from 1 species